GGAAACACGGCUAUAGAAUGAGCCCUGAGGGCAGAAGAAAAAGCACAAAACUGAAGGACUGACACUAAUCAUGCUAGCACAUACAUACAUAAGAGGUGCUGGUGCUCAGAUGAUCAUAUCCACCUUCCAGGCUUUAGCAUUUGCUAAUGUGGCUAUCGUGUCCUCCAUGUCCAGGAUUCUUCAGACUUUCUGCUCUUUUGAUAUAAUGGCGUGAUCUGGCAGGCGGUGAUCUGAUACAUUGUAGACCGCAGGACCACAGCCAAUUAAAAUGAUAGAAAGAAGGAAGGCAGAGAUGAAAGAAGGAAGGAAGUAAGAGAGUGAGAUGUGUGGCAGG